UAAAAAUUUAAUUUUAGUUUGUAAAAUUAAUUAUUUAAUUUAUAUAUAUAUAAUUUUUAGAAGUUAAAAAUUUUUAAAUAAAAUUUUUAAAAUUUAUUAAUUAAUAUAUUAAUUUAAAAAUUUUAAAAAUAAAUAUUUAGAAAUUUAGUUGAUUUUUUAAUAAUUUUGUGCCAGCAUUAGCGGUUAAACAAAAAUGAUAAAUUAAUUUUGAUUUAUUUGAAUUAAUUUAAUAAAUUUUAAAUUUUAAUAAAAAUUAUUUUUAAGUGAAAUUUUAAUAAAUUUUUUAAAAAUAAAUUUUUUUAAUUAAUUUUAUAGAUUUUUAUAAAAACUAGGAUUAGAUACCCUAUUAUUAAAAUUAAAUUUUAAAAAUAAAAGAUUAAAAUUUAAAAAUUAAAAAUUUUGACGGUAAUUUAAUUUAUUUAGAGGAAUAUGCUAUUUAAUUGAUAAUCCACGAUAGGAAAAACUUAAAUUAUAAAGUUUUUGUAUGUUUGUUAAAAAAAAAUUUUUAAAGAAAUUUUAAUUUUUAAAAAAUUUAUUAAAAUUUUAUUUCAGAUCAAUAUAAAGUAAAAUUUAAGAAAUUUGUGUAUUACAAAAUAUUUAAUAUAAAUAUAAAUUUUUUAAUAAAUUUAAAAUAAAGAAUUUAAAAGUAAAAUAAUUUAAUUAAUUUAUUUGAAUUAAAUUUUAAAUUAUGUACAAAUUGCCCGUCACUUCUAAUAAUUAGAAUAAGUCGUAACAAAGUAAGUGUACUGGAAAGUGUACUUAGAAAUAU
rnacentral:ncRNA from 1 species